rnacentral:sRNA from 1 species
GCUGGGUGUGGUGGUGCACACCUGUAAUCUCAGCAACUCAGGAGUCUGGGGCAGGAAGAUCGCAAGUUCAAGGUCAGCCUCAGCAAUUUAGUGAGACCCUGUCUCAA